rnacentral:rRNA from 1 species
GACGAACGCUGGCGGCGUGCUUAACACAUGCAAGUCGAACGGAAAGGCCCUGCUUUUGUGGGGUGCUCGAGUGGCGAACGGGUGAGUAACACGUGAGUAACCUGCCCUUGACUUUGGGAUAACUUCAGGAAACUGGGGCUAAUACCGGAUAGGAGCUCCUGCUGCAUGGUGGGGGUUGGAAAGUUUCGGCGGUUGGGGAUGGUCUCGAGGCUUAUCAGCUUGUUGGUGGGGUAGUGGCUUACCAAGGUUUUGACGGGUAGCCGGCCUGAGAGGGUGACCGGCCACAUUGGGACUGAGGUACGGCCCAGACUCCUACGGGAGGCAACAGUGGGGAAUAUUGCACAAUGGGCGGAAGCCUGAUGCAGCAACGCCGCGUGCGGGAUGACGGCCUUCGGGUUGUAAACCGCUUUCGCCUGUGACGAAGCGUGAGUGACGGUAAUGGGUAAAGAAGCACCGGCUAACUACGUG